AGCAAUAGGAUCAUGCAAACUGAAGAAAACAGUGUUAUUGAAGUACUCCAGAGCUUAAAAGAACUUCUUGAGUACAUUAAAGAAAAUAUUGACCAAAAAUUAUCCCUUUAAGUGUCAAGGCUGUUCUUAAAAAAACAAUAUUACUUAAGAACAGGAAAAUAAAUUCCUACUUAAAGUGGAUAAUUAUUAUGGCACUUGCCAUGACUAUCUUUUGAAAUGGUAUUAGCCCUUGGAGAACUCUAUUCUUUUACAUGGACUUCUGGCCUGU
rnacentral:lncRNA from 1 species